UCACCCCACUGCACUCCAGCCUGGGCGACAGAGCAAGACUGACUCAAUUUAAAAAAAAAAAGAUAAAAAUGGUGCAUCUCUAUAGGGCGUUUACCAUGCCUGGAGCUUGUGGGACUGGAAGUUGCUCUGGAAUCACUUCCUGGCUGGGAAUUGAACCCAGACUGCUGCAGUGAAAGAGCAUAAUGUUAGCUACUGGCCCACAGCAUGAGACUCCCGGUCCUGUUUGUUGCUCAUCCCCAGAUACGCAGCCUGGUCUACAGGAAGAAUUCUAUGUAUAUUUGCUGAAGAGACAAAGAAGGAUGUGGAUGAAUUGGAUGUGGAGAAUGAGAGGAAAGAAAAUGUCAAGGAUGGCUCUAAUUUCUGGCUUAUGCAACUGAGUGGUGCCAUUGAGAGAGACUCUCUCUCUUGCCUUCUUGGUUGGCACACUGGGGAGAAGCGAGCUGCAGCGUUGGAGAGGCCCAUGUGGCAAGGGACUGAGAGCAGCCUCUGGCCAACAGCCGCUGAUCCUACAGAUGAGAAUCUAGCCCUUGUGCUGCCUCAUGAGAGACCCUGGAGCAGAGGCCCCAGCUGAGCUAUGCCUGGAUUCCUACCCACAGAAACUGGAAGACAAUAAAAGUGUCGUUUAUGUUUUUUUAUUCUGGUAAAAAUCAUAUAACAUGAAAUUUUUCCAUUCUAACCAUUAAAAACAUGUCUUUUUGUGUGUGUGAGACAGGGUUUCGUUCUGU
rnacentral:lncRNA from 1 species